rnacentral:rRNA from 1 species
GACGAACGCUGGCGGCGUGCUUAACACAUGCAAGUCGAACGGAAAGGCCCUGCUUUUGUGGGGUGCUCGAGUGGCGAACGGGUGAGUAACACGUGAGUAACCUGCCCUUGACUUUGGGAUAACUUCAGGAAACUGGGGCUAAUACCGGAUAGGAGCUCCUGCUGCAUGGUGGGGGUUGGAAAGUUUCGGCGGUUGGGGAUGGACUCGCGGCUUAUCAGCUUGUUGGUGGGGUAGUGGCUUACCAAGGCUUUGACGGGUAGCCGGCCUGAGAGGGUGACCGGCCACAUUGGGACUGAGAUACGGCCCAGACUCCUACGGGAGGCAGCAGUGGGGAAUAUUGCACAAUGGGCGGAAGCCUGAUGUAGCAACGCCGCGUGCGGGAUGACGGCCUUCGGGUUGUAAACCGCUUACGCCUGUGACGAAGCGUGAGUGACGGUAAUGGGUAAAGAAGCACCGGCUAACUACGUG